AUUGAACGCUGGCGGCAUGCCUUACACAUGCAAGUCGAACGGCAGCACGGGAGCAAUCCUGGUGGCGAGUGGCGAACGGGUGAGUAAUAUAUCGGAACGUGCCCAGUCGUGGGGGAUAACGUAGCGAAAGCUACGCUAAUACCGCAUACGAUCUAUGGAUGAAAGCGGGGGAUCGCAAGACCUCGCGCGAUUGGAGCGGCCGAUAUCAGAUUAGGUAGUUGGUGAGGUAAAGGCUCACCAAGCCGACGAUCUGUAGCUGGUCUGAGAGGACGACCAGCCACACUGGGACUGAGACACGGCCCAGACUCCUACGGGAGGCAGCAGUGGGGAAUUUUGGACAAUGGGCGCAAGCCUGAUCCAGCAAUGCCGCGUGCAGGAUGAAGGCC
rnacentral:rRNA from 1 species